AUUUUGUGGUUUUUGUAUUGUAAUUUUAUCUUGUGAACUGCCCUGAGAUCUACAGAUGAAGGGUGAUAUACAAAUUUAUUUAUUUAUUUAAUAGAUUGCAUUUCACCUUGAUAAAGGGUUGUAGGCAUGAUGUCUGUGUUGUUAGAUGAGGCUAGGGGUUUGUGCAGCAUUCAAGCACAUACCAGGCUCUCACUUGGAUGCAUUCUAAGUGAAACAGUGCUGAAAAUAACAAUACGUACACAUCAUAUGUUGAUGUGCAGUGUAUAUUUUAUAUACUGUUAUAGACCAAGUUCAGGGAACCUGUGUUUACUGGGCUCCAUCAGCCUCAGCCAACGUGCCCAGUGGUCAGAGAUGAUCCUGUUAUAGCUGUGUCUAGUAGAACUUCAGAAUCAUUUGAACUUGUCUGAUCUUUCACUGCUUGGUCCAAAUGGUGGAGGGAACACCAGUGGACUCCAGAAAUGCACAACUUUAAAUGAGGUGGAGCACCUAGAAACAAGGAAGCCAGUGCUAAUAGAUAUCUCCAUAUCGCCCCUAAGACAGAUAGCUUCAGACUCCACAUAGAUCAGCUGCCUUAUCUCAGUUAAAACAAUAUACAGCCAGUUACAUACUUACACUGAGAGGCUGAGUUCUCCUUUGCUAAAAUGAUAUCAAAGCCCCCUUGCACUUUGUGGCCACCUGAAGCUGGUGAAGAUCCUACUGGCUUCCUCAAGACAUAUAGUUCCCAAGUGAAUCAGCCUGCAAGAUCCACUGCUGGGCAGUAUUUAAGUCUUUUAAAUUAAGAAGAGUGGCAGAUGAAACUGAUGUACUAUGCCGAGGUGGCAAAAUUAACUGGGAAAAUUCGGAACCAGCAAGACCAGACUUUCCUGAAAGAGUGGAAGAAAUUUCUGAUAUAUUUGAAAGACAAUUGUAAUCAGUUGACAUCACAUGUACGGUUGCAAGAAGUUUUGUAAGGAGAACCAUAUGAAUUAUUGUGAAAGAGGACUAAGAAGGAGUUUAUUUAGGAUAUGGAUUUUAUAGCAAUAACUAUUAAAAUAAAAUGCAAAAUCAGAAAGAAAGUUAGAAAACCAUUAGUCGAGGUUGACAGAAAUCUCUGGCUGUGAUAGCCGAAGGUUUGUUAUGUUGUAUAGGAUGGGAUGUUAUGUUUGGAAAAAAUGUGCAAAAACCAAUAAAAAUAUAUUUUUUUAAAAAAUCUUUUAAAUUAACAAAAUAAGAUACUUUUACAUCCUUCUGUUUUCAGUGGAAGAGAAGCUGAAUGUAUGAGCAUUUCUUUAACUAAAGUCUUGCAGAAUAGAUGUCUAUAUGGUUUUGCCUUCAAUCUCUUCUUUGAAAUGUGAAUUCCUGUUUCAGAAAGCCUGUAGCUUUUCAGUAUAUCAUUGGGGACAAGAGUUCAGCAUUCUUUUUAAAGAGUUUAGUUUCUACAACUGUUCAUGACCGGAUAUCCUACAGCUAUAAAUAUUUAGUUGUGGAAAGUAGGCUUCCCAUUUUGGUAUUGUGUAUUUGAUGCACAGCUGAGAGGUACUGGAACGGCAUAGGAAUAAUUAAAUGUUAGAGUUUUAGUUAAUGCACUCAAGCCAAUAUAUCCUGAAGGACAAAAGGCUGGAAUAACAUUUCCCUGUAGCAGUAAAUGUUGAAAGGUGCAUACAUUCCUAUCAUUAUGGUGGUGAUUAGAGCUGCAUUGUACAAAAUGUUUCAAAAGGCAAUUUUUAUCACAUCAUUAUUAAUAUAUAGAUCUGAAGGUGAGGGCUGUUUGCAAAGAAGAACUCUUUGGGAUUUCAGCAGACCUGAAAUUUAGCCGCAAUUAGUGGGAGUCAGGUAUACACCUUAAUGAAAAAUGUAUAACUAGAUAUUUACAAGUGCAGAACACAGAAACAUAGAAUCAUAGAACUGGAGAGUUGGAGGUAACGCUGAGGCUCAUCUAGUCUGACCCUCUGCAAUGCAGGAAUCUUAACUAAAG